rnacentral:rRNA from 1 species
GGGGGAUAAACGGGAGUCGAGCGGUAGGCCCCUUCGGGGGUAACGAGCGGCGAACGGGUGAGUAACCCUUUGAGCAAUCUGCCCAUCACAUCGGGAUAACUCCGGGAAACCCAAGCUAAUACCGAAUACGACCACCUCAGGCAUCUGACGGUGGUGGAAAGUUCCGGCGGUGAUGGAUGAGCUCGCGGAAAACAGCUUGUUGGUGGGGUAAUGGCCUACCAAGGCUUCGACGGGUAGCCGGCCUGAGAGGGUGACCGGCCACACUGGGACUGAGACACGGCCCAGACUCCUACGGGAGGCAGCAGUGGGGAAUAUUGGACAAUGGGCGAAAGCCUGAUCCAGCAACGCCGCGUGAGGGAUGACGGCCUUCGGGUUGUAAACCUCUUUCAGCGCCGACGAAGCGAAAGUGACGGUAGGCGCAGAAGAAGCACCGGCCAACUACGUGCCAGAAGCGCGG